rnacentral:rRNA from 1 species
AAUGAACGUUGGCGGCGUGGAUUAGGCAUGCAAGUCGAGCGGAAAGGCCCCUUCGGGGGCACUCGAGCGGCGAAAGGGAGAGUAACGCGUGGAUACCUACCCCUGGGUCCGGAAUAGCUGUGGGAAACUGCGGGUAAUGCCGGAUAAUGUCCCUGGACCAAAGGUGUGAUUCCGCCGAGGAGGGGUCCGCGUCCUAUUAGCUUGUUGGUGGGGUAACGGCCUACCAAGGCGAUGAUGGGUACCGGGUGUGAGAGCAUGGCCCGGCUCACUGGGACUGAGACACUGCCCAGACACCUACGGGUGGCUGCAGUCGAGAAUCUUCGGCAAUGGGCGAAAGCCUGACCGAGCGACGCCGCGUGCGGGAUGAAGGCCUUCGGGUUGUAAACCGCUGUCAGAGGGGAGGAAAUCUGCGAAGGCUAUCCUUCGCAGUUGACCUAGCCUCAGAGGAAGGACGGGCUAAGUUCGUG